AUGUAACGUCCAACCUUAAUCAAACUUGAUAUGAUGGAUGAGGGUCCUGGGUCUCUAUACAAUCUCGAUAAGACUGGUAAGUAUACCGAUCUGAAAAACGUAGGGGCUUUAUGUUUCUGGAAUGUUCACAGCGCCACCACGUGGACACAAGAAGUGACUUAAAAUAUCAAGAAUUUACAAUGGAAGAGGACGUUUGUGUCAUUUGCCCACAACACCCAAUCUGCACCAAACUUCCUAGGAUUAACAUGACUCGCCAUAUAACAGUAAGUUGCACAUGCAACGUCCAAUCUGAAUCAAACUUGAUAUGACUGAUGAGGGUGGCCCACUCACUAUCUUAUUUCCACCAAAUGAAGAUGAUCUACAGUGACAACAUCAUGGUUACCAGUCAGGGUGAAGUGAAAAUUGGUGACUUGGGAGCAGCAGUCAGCUUCAGCGACAUAGACAGAAGAAGCGAGCUCUUCCCAAGGACCAGCAGGAGGAGGAGGGGCAGAUUGGGAGUGAGGAGCCAAUCACCAGAACAACAUGGG
rnacentral:lncRNA from 1 species